rnacentral:rRNA from 1 species
UACGGAGGGGGCUAGCGUUGUUCGGAAUUACUGGGCGUAAAGCGCACGUAGGCGGCUUUGUAAGUUAGAGGUGAAAGCCCGGGGCUCAACUCCGGAAUUGCCUUUAAGACUGCAUCGCUAGAAUUGUGGAGAGGUAAGUGGAAUUCCGAGUGUAGAGGUGAAAUUCGUAGAUAUUCGGAAGAACACCAGUGGCGAAGGCGACUUACUGGACACAUAUUGACGGCUGAGGUGCGAAAGCC